UCGGAGACGAAAGUUUCCGUUCACUCCUCACACCACACUCCGCUCAGACUUUGUCUGGGCGGUU
rnacentral:sRNA from 1 species